ACAAUGAUUCCCCUAGUAACUGCGAGUGAAGAGGGACAAGCUCAAAUUUUAAAUCUAUCGGGUUUUACCUGAUCGAGUUGUAAUUUGAAGAUGGCGUUUUCUGUGUUUCUGAUCAGUCCAAGUCCUUUGGGAUAAGGCAUCAUGGAAGGUGAGAAUCCCGUUCGGUUGAUCAGAUUCGCUUUACGAUACGUUAUCAAAGAGUCAAGUUGUUUGGGAUUGCAGCUUAAAAUGGGAGGUAAAUUUCUCCUAAGGCUAAAUAACGGCGAGAGACCGAUAGCGAACAGGUACCGUGAGGGAAAGAUGAAAAGAACUUUGAAAAGAGAGUUAAACAGUACGUGAAAUUGUUGAAAGGGAAACGAUUGAAGCCAGUCGUACCUUCGGGUAGUCAGCCUUUUGGGUGUGAUUUUGUGGAGCGUGAAGAGUUAAACGCCUUCAUGCUUGCAUAUUCGUGCACUUUGGGUGUACUUGCCCGUAUGGUUGGUUAACAUCAAUUUUGGUGGUCAUAAAAUGACUGGAGGAAUGUAGCUUCGAUCUCGUAUUGAAGUAUUAUAGCCUUCGGUAGAUGUGAUGAUCGAGAUUGAGGAUUGCAACGGAUACCCUUCGGGGCUACCUGUCUGAUCUCUGAUCGUUGCUCUGGUACCGAAAGCUUGCUUACGGUUAUCAAAGUCGAUGGUCAAUAGGUUAGAACGGGUUAAAUUCGUUAAGGAUGUUGACGUAAUGGCUUUAAACGACCCGUCUUGAAACACGGACCAAGGAG
rnacentral:rRNA from 1 species